GGGCCUGUAGCUCAGCAUGGUAGAGCAGCGGACUUUUAAUCCGUUUGUCGAGGGUUCGAAUCCCUCCGGGCCCA
rnacentral:tRNA from 4 species